GACGAACGCUGGCGGCGUGCCUAAUACAUGCAAGUAGAACGCUGAAGGAGGAGCUUGCUCUUCUGGAUGAGUUGCGAACGGGUGAGUAACGCGUAGGUAACCUGCCUGGUAGCGGGGGAUAACUAUUGGAAACGAUAGCUAAUACCGCAUAAUAUUGAUUAUUGCAUGAUAGUCAAUUAAAAGGUGCAAUUGCAUCACUACCAGAUGGACCUGCGUUGUAUUAGCUAGUUGGUGAGGUAACGGCUCACCAAGGCAACGAUACAUAGCCGACCUGAGAGGGUGAUCGGCCACACUGGGACUGAGACACGGCCCAGACUCCUACGGGAGGCAGCAGUAGGGAAUCUUCGGCAAUGGACGGAAGUCUGACCGAGCAACGCCGCGUGAGUGAAGAAGGUUUUCGGAUCGUAAAGCUCUGUUGUAAGAGAAGAACGAGUGUGAGAGUGGAAAGUUCACACUGUGACGGUAUCUUACCAGAAAGGGACGGCUAACUACGUGCCAGCAGCCGCGGUAAUACGUAGGUCCCGAGCGUUGUCCGGAUUUAUUGGGCGUAAAGCGAGCGCAGGCGGUUAGAUAAGUCUGAAGUUAAAGGCUGUGGCUUAACCAUAGUACGCUUUGGAAACUGUUUAACUUGAGUGCAAGAGGGGAGAGUGGAAUUCCAUGUGUAGCGGUGAAAUGCGUAGAUAUAUGGAGGAACACCGGUGGCGAAAGCGGCUCUCUGUCUUGUAACUGACGCUGAGGCUCGAAAGCGUGGGGAGCAAACAGG
rnacentral:rRNA from 1 species